rfam:Pteropus alecto contig13508, whole genome shotgun sequence.
GUUUACGGUCAUGCCACCCUGAACGUGCCCGAUCCCGUCUGAUCUUGGAAGCUGAGCAGGGUCGGGUCUGGUUAGUACUUGGAUGGGAGACUCCCUAGAAAGAUCAGGUGUUGUAGGCA